rnacentral:rRNA from 1 species
UACAGAGGGUGCAAGCGUUAAUCGGAAUAACUGGGCGUAAAGGGUGCGUAGGUGGUUACUUAAGUUGGAUGUGAAAUCCCCGGGCUUAACCUGGGAACUGCAUUCAAUACUGGGUAGCUUGAGUAGAAUAGAGGGGAGUGGAAUUUCCGGUGUAGCGGUGGAAUGCGUAGAUAUCGGAAGGAACACCAGUGGCGAAGGCGGCUCCCUGGAUUCAUACUGACACUGAGGCACGAAAGCGUGGGGAGCAAACAGG